GCGCGUGGGAGCGCAGGGAGCAUGCGUGUGCGAGUGCGUGCGGCUGCAGGGCGCGCGCCCGAGCGCGGCCGCGAGGUUUCUCGGCGCUGGCGAGCGGUGGCCGAGCCCGAGGCUCCUCAGAAUGGCGCCUUCGCCAGGAAUCAGUUGAGCUCUACCAGCCACUGGCAGCAUUUCAGUCUUCACUGGUCCUUGGAGGCGAACAUGACGGAACAGGAGAAGAGAGGCCUCAGUACCCGGUGGGAACACCAUACAGAGGAAUUCUGCGUGGGAGUGUUGGAGCCAACUCUCCAAUGAUCCCAGCUCCUACCUCCUGGCUAAGGAUGGAACAGCCUUAAGUAGAAGGAUGUGUGGUCCCAUCUACAGCCAAUGGCAUCCUGGAUCUAGGCGGCGGACACUCUCCUCCCAGAGCUGAGCCUCUCGCUGAAAGAUGAACACUGGGUUCUCUUACUGCCUUUCGACAAGUCGCCUUUGCUCAGGGUAGGAGCGUGUUAUAAGACAGUGUUUCCUAGUCACUCUUCUGCCCCCCAACCCCACUCUCCUCUCUCCCUUUCUUCCCUUUAGAUGUGCUUAUAAGAGGCUCAGAGCCAGCCUGGAGUGUAAGUCGCUCAACCUCUCUGGCUUCAGUGUUCUCAUCUAUAAAACGAGGGGCCGACCAGAGGACCCCCAGAGUCCUCCUUGGCUCUGAAAUGCUUUGAUUCUCUGAAGUCCCCAAGACCGCAGGGAGUAGCAGAGGAAGCCCCUCUCUGAUGAGUAGCAUCAAGACAGCCCCUGGCUGGGUCUCUGUGUGCCAGACUUCCCUGCUGCGUCACGUCCCAGCCUGGCAGAUGUCACUUAGAUUCCCCCCAACUGGCUCCAGAGAGCUCCAGUGUGCUUUGGAUCCCGGGCACACUUGUCUUGCGAAAUCUGACCCAAUCAAAUCCUGCCAUAUGGGCUCAUUACAAACGUCCUUGCGUCAGUCAGACGGAUGCGGUGCUUCCUGGGCUCCCAGCGGAAGGUCGAAAUGGCUCUCAUGGUAGCACAGCCAGCCUUGAGCGGUGGUUUUGUUUCACUUGUCAUAUCUCCACGUCCCAUUUAAAUUGUGUUUCUCUAGUUAAAGUGUUUUCCUUUAUUUAAUAAACACUUCUGGAGCACCUGUUACUCUGUGGGG
rnacentral:lncRNA from 1 species